GACAGAGGGUGCAAACGUUGCUCGGAAUCACUGGGCGUAAAGGGCGUGUAGGCGGGAAGGAAAGUCAGAUGUGAAAUCCCUGGGCUCAACCCAGGAACUGCAUUUGAAACUCCCUUUCUUGAGUGUCGGAGAGGAGAGCGGAAUUCCUGGUGUAGAGGUGAAAUUCGUAGAUAUCAGGAGGAACACCGGUGGCGAAGGCGGCUCUCUGGACGAUAACUGACGCUGAGACGCGAAAGCGUGGGGAGCAAACAGG
rnacentral:rRNA from 1 species